CACUGUAAUAGGUUUCCCUUUCGGCCACAUCCCCGCCAGCAUUUGUUAUUGUUAGUUUUCCUGAUAGUGGCCAUUCUAACUGGAAUGAGAGGGAAUCUCAAUGUUGUUUUGAUUUGCAAUUCCUUUAUGGCCAGAGAUAUUGAACACUUCUUCGUGU